CAGUUUAAUAUGCAGAAACAGAUUUCAUGUAAGCAAGCCAUUUGUAAGUUGAUUUCCCAGAGAGUGUAUACUCUGACUGACUUGCUGUCUAAGCAUUGCUCUUCUUGUUUGUGCAGCUAAACACAGCAACAGGGAUUCAGCCAAUGACAAGAGUUUGGAGGUAGGACAACCUGCUUUUUGACCAAUGGCUGAUGAAAUGGAAAUGAAACCUGUCUGAAUUUUGCAUUUCCAUUUGUCUGAAAGGGGCACCAUCACAAACAGGAAGUCAGGAGAGCCGUCUGUAUGCAUAAUUCAGCCUCGCCAUGUCAGCAAGUGCAUAAAAGCCUCUGAAGGGCUUGAAAAGUCAUCCAGGCAAGGAAGCAAGGCUUUGGUGUUUGUCAGAUCCAUGCUGGUGCAGGAUGCAGUGAAUGCAUCAUGCUGACGUGACUCUCUGGAAACUGCGGCUAUUUGUCAUGGGUUAGUUUUUGAGACUAUCUGAAAGCUGGCGGACACGGGGUAGAGUGUUUUUAUGUAUUUUACUACAUCGAUGGAUCAAAAGAGGAGGCUCUUUGAUGCAGGUCUUUGCUACUCUAUAGCUCACACGGAGGGUAAAGGUGAUUUCUCUCCAGACCUGGACUAAGCUUCUGAUUUUUGCUUCUAUGUGAGAUUUGAUCUAUACAAGCAAAUAUGUUAUACAAAUGUAGUUUCAACCUGAGUACUACUAACAAGAGUUGAAAGUUCAGGGCCUAGCACCGAAGUAGCUGGUACAAGUGUUAACUCUUACAAAGUGCUGGCAUAGAAAUAGAAGGAAAGUCAGGAUCUAAACACAGGUUUUUUUUUUUUUUUUUAAUGAUAAAGAAUCUGAAUAUGAACAGAAAAGAAGCAAAUGGAACACAGCUGACCAUGAAAACAGGAAAACCAGAACUUAAAGAGGAUAGAGAAUAUAAUUAGCUCUGUUUAAAACAAGUAGAAAUAAGUGGAAAUAGCCCUUUAUAUUAAAACCAUGAAAGACGGGGUGAAAUUUGGAUAUAAAUUAAAUCAUUAUGUAUUUGUUUUCCUUUCACGUAUUUGCCAUCUUAUUAUUUUCCUUUUUUUAUUGUUAUCUUUUUUUCAAUUUGUCGAUGUAUGUGUAUGUCUGUGUUUUGAUCAGUGCAUUGGCACUGUAAAGCCUUUUUACCAUGUCGAUAAAACAGAUUUGGUGGAGGAAUAGGUUUCUUGUCAUCAUAGUAGUUAGACUAGUUACAGUUGUCAGGCAGAGUUGUCUCUAACUAUUACUGCACCCACUGAACUUGCCCAAAGGUACCACGCUACAACUAAAAAAUAUACAUUAUUGUUCAGCCAAUUUUUGUCUGUGAAAUCCAACCAUUUCAAUAGGAAUCCACAUGAUCAGUUAUUUAGCUUGAGAUUUCCCCACUCAGCAACGGCAAAUUUGCAGUGUUUAUCAACAGAUGU
ensembl:lncRNA